CCUGCUAGACCUUUAUCCUUGUCCAAUUUGUCAGCUUUCUCUGUUUGAUUUCCCACCUACCCUGUUAGAUUUUGAGCAUUCACUCCGUUGUCCUUUGGUCUCUGGUUUGACCUUAGGUUCUCUUUUCCUUUGCCUUUUGAGGCCAUCCUACAAACACCAGGAGGUCUCCUUGGUGCCUACAUAAUGAGCAGGAAACCUAGACUCUUUUGUAUAUAUUGUCUGCUAGAAUCAAGGAGGAUACUGGACUCAACCACAACCUGGACUGUCUCACACACGUAUAGAGCGGCUAAUGGUGCAGCACAUCAUCUUGCAAAGGCUGGCCUCGAAUGCUCAGAGCACAUCUAUAACAUUGAAGAAGUUCCUAGAUGUAUUGAGUCCAUUGUGUCUAGAGAAAUGUUGUAGAGUUAUGUGAAAUCUGUCAAGCAGUGGUGUUUGAUUGCUCUGAUGUAAAAUUUUAUGAAUGAAAUUUACAUCCUUUUCAAAAAAAAAACUGCUACUUUUGAUGUAUUCACCACCAAUGUCUUUAAACUCUAUGCUAGGGAUGGAUCUAGAAAUCGUCUGUCUAGAGAGAAAAAACUCACGUAUAAUGGUGAUGAAUUUAUUUUGGUAUUUUCCAUUUAACUUGAGUGAUUAGCCUGUGAGACCAAAAGAAAAACCAAGAUUUGAAGAUUGUUAAGAGUUUUGCUCAAUGUUUUUAAAUAUUAAUUUUGUCCUGCACAUUGAUCCAACAUGAAUUAGAUGAUACCUUUUGAUCCUGGUUCGGUUUUUUACUUGGUUAGAGACUUUGACAUACCCUCACUCACGCCUCUCCCCAUUCCAAGUGUGCAAUAGGAUCAAGAGAAUGGUACAUCUGAAGUAGUCCUGAGAACAGCAUCCAAAAAAACAAGGCCACGUAGCACGCUCAUUACAGAAGGAAUGAUCAUCCACUGCACCCAAGCUCUCUCUCUUCGAAAAUGUCCAGUCAAGAAGCUCAUCUCUUCUCUGUUGUCUCUCUCCAAAUCACACCGAAGAACGCGUCUCUUCUCGCUCAUCAAAUACCCAUCGCAAAUCCUCCAACUCGCCUGUCUCAGAAAUCCUCUUGCUCGUCUCUCUCUCUCAUCGAUGCUAGCCAGCCCAAGAGUGGGCACCGAAGCUCGUCUCUCUCUCUCUCAUCGAAAACGUAUGUUUCAAAAGCUCAACUCUCCCUCUUUCUUGUCUGUCUCUCCCAAUCACACCGAAGAACUCGCCUCAUCUCUCUCAUCAAAUACCCAUAGACGCCAGCCACCCCAAGAGUGGUGUGGAAAGAUGUUGAUGGUGUUUUAACAUGUGAUCCUAACAUACUCACAAGCAGAACCCGUGCCAUAUUUGACAUUUGAAGAGGCUGCUGAACUUGCAUAUUUUGCCAACCAGGAAUCAUGAUCUUAUACCUUAUUACCCAGUCAAGUUGUGGAGUACAGCUUCGACGAAGGAACGACAGGAUACAUGAUGAACAUGUCAAGAAAGAACAAGCCAAAUUACAAUUACAAGCCAUAGAGAAGAAGUACAAGGGAACCAUGAUAGCAUUGUUCUUGUCGUUGUUUUUUAUUGUGAUUGUAAGUUUUAUGUAUCUGAGGAAAAAUGGCAUAUGUCAGUCAUUGUUAAGACUCAUGUAAUCAUUAAGUCAUUUGUUGUAAUGUUUAGAGCACUUUUUGCAAGUUUUAUGUAAACUUUGGGGUGGCAACAAUCUAAUUUAUACAAUCCGACUUUUUUGUAUCUUUGGUAUCUCGUGUAAACUUUUGAGCAAACAUCUUUCAUAGGUGAAGGAGACCUUAAUGCAAGUUGUGGCUUCGUCUUCA